rnacentral:rRNA from 1 species
UGGGGAAUUUUGGACAAUGGGGGCAACCCUGAUCCAGCCAUGCCGCGUGUGUGAAGAAGGCCUUCGGGUUGUAAAGCACUUUCGGCCGGAACGAAAUCGCGCGGGCUAACACUCCGCGUGGAUGACGGUACCGGAAGAAGAAGCACCGGCUAACUACGUGCCAGCAGCCGCGGUAAUACGUAGGGUGCGAGCGUUAAUCGGAAUUACUGGGCGUAAAGUGUGCGCAGGUGGCCGCGCAAGUCGAGUGUGAAAGCCCCGGGCUUAACUUGGGAAUUGCGCUCGAAACUACGUGGCUAGAGUGUGGCAGAGGAAGGUGGAAUUCCACGUGUAGCGGUGAAAUGCGUAGAGAUGUGGAGGAACACCGAUGGCGAAGGCAGCCUUCUGGGCCAACACUGACGCUCAUGCACGAAAAGCGUGGGGAGCAAAACAGGAUUAGAUACCCUGGUAGUCCACGCCCUAAAGAUGAUGACUAGUU